AAGGACUUCUUCUUUAUGUGGAGAACAACCACUAACCUUGGCAGAUAAGUGAAGAGCUGUGGAAUUGGUCUACCUGGAAUUUAUCCUCUGGCAAAGUUUCCCACAACAUUCUCCUGGAGACUCUGGAUGUUCAUGGCUCAGAUGGAUGUACUGUUCGCUGGGUACUGGACUGAAUUCACAGGGAGUCAACUGGGAAAGGACCUCUAAGACCAUGGAUUCACCAGGCACUCACAGCUUCACUGCCUGAAGAGUUGCUUCCCCACAAAACUGGGGUUUGAGGCACUGUGUGCCAGCUUUCCUCUGCGAGCCAAUGUAUCUUAGCUCAUCACUUAGCCUAAGGAUUUCCAGACUUUCUGGUAAAAUAGGUGUCUGAGGAAACCUUGGGGUGUUGAUUAUAGGGCUGGGUGGGCAGCAAGAAUUCCAUUUUGUGAACUAUUUCAAGGUGUUGACACUUGUGCCGAAGUGCACUAAAACCAAGACUCUCUCAAUUGUUUUUGCCAAAAAUAAAAUGAAAAUAAUAAUA